rnacentral:rRNA from 1 species
CUGGGAGGACCAUCUCCUAAGGCUAAAUACUCUCUAGUGACCGAUAGUGAACCAGUACCGUGAGGGAAAGGUGAAAAGCACCCCGGAAGGGGAGUGAAAUAGAACCUGAAACCGUGUGCUUACAAGUAGUCAGAGCCCGUUAAUGGGUGAUGGCGUGCCUUUUGUAGAAUGAACCGGCGAGUUACGAUUUGAUGCAAGGUUAAGCAGUAAAUGUGGAGCCGUAGCGAAAGCGAGUCUGAAUAGGGCGUUUAGUAUUUGGUCGUAGACCCGAAACCAGGUGAUCUACCCUUGGUCAG